rnacentral:rRNA from 1 species
GAUGAACGCUGGCGGCGUGCCUAAUACAUGCAAGUCGAGCGAACGGACGAGAAGCUUGCUUCUCUGAUGUUAGCGGCGGACGGGUGAGUAACACGUGGAUAACCUACCUAUAAGACUGGGAUAACUUCGGGAAACCGGAGCUAAUACCGGAUAAUAUUUUGAACCGCAUGGUUCAAAAGUGAAAGACGGUCUUGCUGUCACUUAUAGAUGGAUCCGCGCUGCAUUAGCUAGUUGGUAAGGUAACGGCUUACCAAGGCAACGAUGCAUAGCCGACCUGAGAGGGUGGUCGGCCACACUGGAACUGAGACACGGUCCAGACUCCUACGGGAGGCAGCAGUAGGGAAUCUUCCGCAAUGGGCGAAAGCCUGACGGAGCAACGCCGCGUGAGUGAUGAAGGUCUUCGGAUCGUAAAACUCUGUUAUUAGGGAAGAACAUAUGUGGAAGUAACUGUGCACAUCUUGACGGUACCUAAUCAGAAAGCCACGGCUAACUACGUG